rnacentral:rRNA from 1 species
CAGGCCUAACACAUGCAAGUCGAACGCCCCGCAAGGGGAGUGGCAGACGGGUGAGUAACACGUGGGAACGUACCCUUUGGUUCGGAACAACCCUGGGAAACUAGGGCUAAUACCGGAUACGCGCGAGAGCGGAAAGGUUUACCGCCGAAGGAUCGGCCCGCGUCUGAUUAGCUAGUUGGUGAGGUAACGGCUCACCAAGGCGACGAUCAGUAGCUGGUCUGAGAGGAUGAUCAGCCACAUUGGGACUGAGACACGGCCCAAACUCCUACGGGAGGCAGCAGUGGGGAAUAUUGGACAAUGGGCGCAAGCCUGAUCCAGCCAUGCCGCGUGAGUGAUGACGGCCCUAGGGUUGUAAAGCUCUUUCGCACGUGACGAUAAUGACGGUAACGUGAGAAGAAGCCCCGGCUAACUUCGUGCCAGCAGCCGCGGUAAU